CAGCUCUCCGAGUGGUAGGGAUGAUUAUUGGGCUUAAAGCGUCCGUAGCCGGCUUAGCAAGUCUCCUGUUAAAUUCAGCGACCUAAUCGUUGAGCCGCGGGAGAUACUACUAGGCUAGGAGGCGGGAGAGGCCGACGGUAUUCUCGGGGUAGGGGUGAAAUCCUAUAAUCCCGGGAGGACCACCAGUGGCGAAGGCUGUCGGCUAGAACGCGCUCGACGGUGAGGGACGAAAGCUGGGGGAGCAAACCGGAUUAGAUACCCGAGUAGUCC
rnacentral:rRNA from 1 species